GCCGCUGUAGCUCAGUUGGUAGAGCGCCCGCCUUGUAAGCGGACGGUCAGGGGUUCGAGUCCCCUCAGCGGCUCCG
rnacentral:tRNA from 5 species